rnacentral:rRNA from 1 species
UCCAUGUGUAGCGGUGAAAUGCGUAGAUAUAUGGAGGAACNCCGGUGGCGAAAGCGGCUCUCUGGUCUGUAACUGACGCUGAGGCUCGAAAGCGUGGGGAGCGAACAGGAUUAGAUACCCUGGUAGUNCACGCCGUGAACGAUGAGUGCUAGGUGUUAGGCCCUUUCCGGGGCUUAGUGCCGCAGCUAACGCAUUAAGCACUCCGCCUGGGGAGUACGACCGCAAGGUUGAAACUCAAAGGAAUUGACGGGGGCCCGCACAAGCGGUGGAGCAUGUGGUUUAAUUCGAAGCAACGCGAAGAACCUUACCAGGUCUUGACAUCCCGAUGCCCGCUCUAGAGAUAGAGUUUUACUUCGGUACAUCGGUGACAGGUGGUGCAUGGUUGUCGUCAGCUCGUGUCGUGAGAUGUUGGGUUAAGUCCCGCAACGAGCGCAACCCUUAUUGUUAGUUGCCAUCAUUCAGUUGGGCACUCUAGCGAGACUGCCGGUAAUAAACCGGAGGAAGGUGGGGAUGACGUCAAAUCAUCAUGCCCCUUAUGACCUGGGCUACACACGUGCUACAAUGGCUGGUACAACGAGUCGCAAGUCGGUGACGGCAAGCUAAUCUCUUAAAGCCAGUCUCAGUUCGGAUUGUAGGCUGCAACUCGCCUACAUGAAGUCGGAAUCGCUAGUAAUCGCGGAUCAGCACGCCGCGGUGAAUACGUUCCCGGGCCUUGUACACACCGCCCGUCACACCACGAGAGUUNGUAACACCCGAAGUCGGUGAGGUANCCU